ensembl:snRNA U6 U6 spliceosomal RNA
ACUAAAAUUGGAAUGAUACAGAGAAGAUUAGCAUGGCCCCUGCGCUUUGUGAAGCGUUCCAUAUUUUU